GUCUCCCUCUUGCUGUUGCAUGCAGUUCCUCUCUCUCUUCCUCCAUUCCUCUAACCCCUCCCUCCUUCUAACCCCAGCCCUCUGGCAGAACCAGGAAGUCCCUCCCCUUCCCACAAACUCUCUUCUAAGGAAACAAAACUGAUCUGAGUCUGUCUGUCGUCUGUCUGUGUGAGAGUGAACAACCGUCCAAAUGGCUCAACAGGGAGUUCUGCUGGACCAGGACCAGUUCUGUUGUUCUGUCUGUCUGGAUCUACUGAAGGAGCCGGUCACUACUAUCUGUGGACACAGUUACUGUAGAAUCUGUAUUGACGGCUGCUGGGACCAGGAUGUUCUGAAAGGGGUCUAUAGCUGUCCUCAGUGCAGAGAGACCUUCACUCCAAGGCCUAAUCUGAGGAAAAAUAACAUGUUGGCUGAGCUGGUGGAGAAACUGAGGAAGACAGGACUCCAGGCUGCUCCCCCUCCUGCUCUGUGCUAUGCUGGACCUGGAGAUGUGGCGUGUGAUGUCUGCACUGGGACCAGAAAGCAGAAAGCCCUCAUGUCCUGUCUGGUGUGUCUGGCCUCUUACUGUGAGACUCACCUCCAACCUCACUAUGAAUCUCCUGCUUUCAAGAAGCACAAGCUGGUCAAAGCCACGGCACAACUACAGGAGAAGAUCUGCUCUCAUCAUGACAAACUGCUGGAGGUUUACUGUCGUACCGAUCAGCAGUGUAUCUGUCUGCUGUGUGUGAUGGAUGAACAUAAAGGCCAUGAUACAGUGUCAGCUGCAGCAGAGAGGACUGAGAAACAGAGGCAGCUGGGGAUGAGUCAGCAGAAGGUCCAGCAGAGAUUCCAGGAGAGAAAGAAGGAGCUGAAGGAGCUCCAACAGGCUGUGGAGUCUUUCAAGGUGAGUAUUGUUGACCAGAGGAGACACACCAUUUCACUUCUCCCCUCCAGUCAGAGAGAGAGAGAGAGAGAGAGAGAGGGGCCCCUAUCCAAUCCUACUGACCCCACUGUUGGGAACAGGCUGUCUGGACCUCUUUCAGAGAAUAGACUGGUUCAUGUAACUGACUGGGCUGCCUCAUCACAUAACCAUGAGUAACCAUGACGACUCAUGUC